CUGACUGUCUGCGUAUAACUCUC
rnacentral:siRNA from 1 species